rnacentral:rRNA from 1 species
GAUGAACGCUAGCUACAGGCUUAACACAUGCCAGUCGAGGGGCAGCAUGAACUUAGCUUGCUAAGUUUGAUGGCGACCGGCGCACGGGUGAGUAACACGUAUCCAACCUGCCGAUGACUCGGGGAUAGCCUUUCGAAAGAAAGAUUAAUACCCGAUGGCAUAGUUCUUCCGCAUGGUAGAACUAUUAAAGAAUUUCGGUCAUCGAUGGGGAUGCGUUCCAUUAGGUUGUUGGCGGGGUAACGGCCCACCAAGCCUUCGAUGGCUAGGGGUUCUGAGAGGAAGGUCCCCCACAUUGGAACUGAGACACGGUCCAAACUCCUACGGGAGGCAGCAGUGAGGAAUAUUGGUCAAUGGACGAGAGUCUGAACCAGCCAAGUAGCGUGAAGGAUGACUGCCCUAUGGGUUGUAAACUUCUUUUAUACGGGAAUAAAGUGAGGCACGUGUGCCUUUUUGUAUGUACCGUAUGAAUAAGGAUCGGCUAACUCCGUG